rnacentral:rRNA from 1 species
ACAGGGAUUGCCCUAGUAACGGCGAGUGAAGCGGCAACAGCUCAAAUUUGAAAGCUAGCCUUCGGGUUCGCAUUGUAAUUUGUAGAGGAUGCUUUGGGUAAAACGCCAGUCUAAGUUCCUUGGAACAGGACGUCAUAGAGGGUGAGAAUCCCGUAUGUGACUGGAAAUGUUAACCUAUGUAAAGCUCCUUCGACGAGUCGAGUUGUUUGGGAAUGCAGCUCUAAAUGGGAGGUAAAUUUCUUCUAAAGCUAAAUAUUGGCGAGAGACCGAUAGCGCACAAGUAGAGUGAUCGAAAGAUGAAAAGCACUUUGGAAAGAGAGUUAAAAAGCACGUGAAAUUGUUGAAAGGGAAGCGCUUGCAAUCAGACUUGUUUAAACUGUUCGGCCGGUCUUCUGACCGGUUUACUCAGUUUGGACAGGCCAGCAUCAGUUUCGGCGGCCGGAUAAAGGCAUUGGGAAUGUGGCCUUCACUUCGGUGGAGGUGUUAUAGCCCAGUGUGUAAUACGGCCAGCCGGGACUGAGGUCCGCGCUUCGGCUAGGAUGCUGGCGUA